ensembl:lncRNA
CACACACACACACACACACACACACACACACACACACCACACACUCACAGCCUCUCUCUAAACGCAAGACGCAACUGCACUUUACGCCGUGAGUAAAUUUCUUUUUAAAUGAUAGUUGCACGGGGGGGAAGGCUAAUAUUAAUGUCUCGACAGACAAACAGAGAGGUGAGGAGAGAAGGAGCGGAGAGACCGAGAGGCGGACAACGGGAGAUGGACCUCGGGAUAGAGGUAACAGCAUGACAGGGAAGGCGCGGGGGAGAAAGAAAGAGAAGAAACAAGGCGCCCUUUUUCUCCCAUAUCGGUUACCUAUUUUAAAGCAUCUGUCUUCGGGUGCCUUGGAACGUGCGCCAACGUGCACACACACAAAUAGAGAAGCGAUAAACAAAGUUUUAGGAUUUUUGGUAUGGCCGGCAUAUGGAAACACCCCAUGGAUGGGAUGUUGACGAGUAAGACCGGGGUCAAACAACAGAUAAUUAAUGAGAUGUAGAACGGCGGAGCGUGUGGGAUGGGACACAUCAGGAAGACACGCGGUUUAAACGGAGCAUGUGGGUGGCAGCAUCAUGGAUCCGCACAGCUUACCUGCCCUAAUGACUUUUUUGAUAUGCCUUUUGUCUUCCGUCGUGUUUUCCCGGGAUGCGGGGCCGUGGCAGCUGGCUAAGGAGAGCUUCUGUUUUUGGACACCGUUUGUCACCAAAUGGACACUGUUUGGAGUCUUAAAUCUGUGCGGAGCAGAUAAAAUCCCCUUCUCGUAAAAUCUUGGAUAUCUAAUUUUCUUGGGUGCAACGUCGCCCGUUGGUAUAGGCCUAAUUAUUCCUAUUAGCCUAGGCCUAUAUAUUUUUCUUUCGGUCCAUAACGUUACUGAAAAAUAUAUAUAGUCUAUAGGCUUAUACAUAGCCGAUAUUAGGCCUACUAUUAUUUUUACGUUGUUGUAACCAACCAAUGUAUACAACGUGCUUUUAAUUACCAUUUGGCCUGCUGGUUAAGACGUUGCUAAAACAAACUCAACACCGUGUGUGUGAGUGAUUUAUGGGUAACUUUUGGGGAAGUUAUAAAUCUCUAACCAGUAGCCCGGACCAUAAAUCUAGAGGCAGGAGCUUCGCUAAUUGGCGGUGAACUGCUCAGACUGGGGCUCCAGGUCCUGAGCGGGCGCUCGCCUGUCUAUGCGACUGCAAAAAACGGUGCUAUAGUCGCCGGUAUGGUUUCAACAACUCUGACUUUUUCUCACUUCUCAUUUCUCGGAUUUGAACAUACAAACGUAAAUAACUAGAAAAAAACUUGAAAAACAAAUUUUAGGUUAGCAAUACUAUUUUUGCCUCGCGUGGUGUAUGGGCAUAUCCCAUGGAUCUGUCUCUUCAGUCGAGGAUUGAGUCGAGACAGGUCCUGCUAUCACUCACCCUUUUUACUCGUAGCCUUUCCACCCUGGCCUGUGGGCUAUUGUGUUUUUGCGUUAGCUAUAACUCUUCGUCAAACUUAACAAUCUUUUAAGGACAAACGGUUCUCAUCCGAUCUCGUCCCUCUCGUCCCUGCGAUGUCCACAUAAAUGAGCCGAAAGAUUGUUUUUGACACAGCAGCGGACAACAGCGGCCGCGGCGGGAAUACAGAUUUUGAAAAGUGCUGCGCCUCGCUGCUACCGCCAUUAAUAUGUUACUGCCGGCUAAUUUAGUUACGAUAGGGUAGGCUACGCAUUAGAGGAGAUGACUAAGUAGAGGGACGGGUGGUUCGAAUGCAGAAGAACUUCAACCACUCAAAUUGGAAAAUAGAUUUGCAUGCACGCCCAUGUGGAUGUGUUCACCUAAUCCUAUCUAGGCCUGGUUACAUAAUGUUUUUAAUGCAUGGGAACAAUUUGUGUUUUUUUAUUAUUUGUAUUAUUGUUAUUAUUAUUAUUAUUAUUAAUAAUAAUAAUAAUAAUAAUGAUAAUAAUACUAUUACGUUAUUAUUGAACAUUAUUAUCAGUAUCAAUAUUAUUUAUGUUGUUGUUGUUUUGAUGUCAAAGACCCACUUCUGUGUUAUAUUAUCAAACAAUAAAACUAUUUACCUC